rnacentral:rRNA from 1 species
GAUGAACGCUAGCGGCAGGCUUAACACAUGCAAGUCGAGGGGUAUAGUUCUUCGGAACUAGAGACCGGCGCACGGGUGCGUAACGCGUAUGCAAUCUACCUUUUACAGGGGGAUAGCCCAGAGAAAUUUGGAUUAAUACCCCAUAGUAUGUUAGAGUGGCAUCAUUUUAACAUUAAAGUUCCAACGGUAAAAGAUGAGCAUGCGUCCCAUUAGCUAGAUGGUAAGGUAACGGCUUACCAUGGCGACGAUGGGUAGGGGUCCUGAGAGGGAGAUCCCCCACACUGGUACUGAGACACGGACCAGACUCCUACGGGAGGCAGCAGUGAGGAAUAUUGGACAAUGGGCGCAAGCCUGAUCCAGCCAUGCCGCGUGCAGGAAGACGGUCCUAUGGAUUGUAAACUGCUUUUGUACAGGAAGAAACACUCCCUCGUGAGGGAGCUUGACGGUACUGUAAGAAUAAAGAUCGGCUAACUCCGUGCCAGCAGCCGCAGUAACAC